GCAAGGGGUGAGUAAAGUGGCGUACGGGUGAGUAACACGUGGGUAAUCUGCUCUUUGGUGGGGAAUAACCCUGGGAAACCGGGGCUAAUACCGCAUAAGCUCGCAAGAGGAAAGGUGAAAAUCGCCGAAGAAGGAGCCCGCGGCUGAUUAGCUAGUUGGUGAGGUAAAGGCUCACCAAGGCGAAGAUCGGUAGCCGGCCUGAGAGGGCACACGGCCACACUGGCACUGAAACACGGGCCAGACUCCUACGGGAGGCAGCAGUGGGGAAUCUUGCACAAUGGGGGAAACCCUGAUGCAGCGACGCCGCGUGAGCGAUGAAGCCCUUCGGGGUGUAAAGCUCUUUCGGCAGGAACGAUAAUGACGGUACCUGAAGAAAAAGCUGCGGCUAACUACGUGCCAGCAGCCGCGGUAAUACGAACGCAGCGAGCGUUG
rnacentral:rRNA from 1 species